UGCCAGCUCGUGAGGCCUCCUGGCACCCGCCACCCGCUUCCCCGAGCAGGAAGGGCGUCCCUUCCUCACCACACAACCAGCGUGAGUUCUCUAGUAAGAAUGCGAACACUGUGGACUACGGCCGAUCCAGUCAUCCCGGUCUCCAUCCCUUUCCCCCAAACAACUGGCAGUUUUUAUUGAGUGAACGCGGUCCGUGGUGCCAGCCCACACCUACUCCAUCCCACCCCGCGCCCCACAGUCGGGAGUGUCUGUUAAUUAAGCAACGGGAAGCAGAGGCGUGGCCUCCGCCGCCUGCGCGGCAGAUCGCGCUGCAGGUGAGGCCGCGCGGAAACCGGCCGCAGGCCCGUCGCGCCGCGGGGCGGGUCCCCGACGCCGGCCGCUACGUGCAGCCCCACCGCGGCCGGAUGGAGCCCGGCGACGCUCUCGCGGGCGGUCGCAGCGCCGCGGCCACCCCCAUCGAAUCUGGGGCGUCCCAGGAGCAUCCACCCUUUCUUCCCAGGAGGCGGGGAAGGUCACGGGUUACAUAACCCGGGCCACCGCUGCAUCGCGGCUGCACCCGGCCAAACCUGCCCAUCGGGGGCCACGCGCCCGGGGCUCCAGGAGAGCCCGAGACGGAUGCGUGAUGGAGAAGGGACUGGACAGAGAUGGGCGAUGGGACAUGGGCGAUGGGGGCGGGGAGUAGACGGACGUGACCAGAACGGAGUGGGAGGGGCGAGGACCGCGCGGCGCGGAGGACAAGGAUGCGGAGGAGCAGACGUGAUCCGAAUGGAGGGGAGGGGCGAGAAGCGGAGCAUGAAUGGGGCAGGGCCCCACCAGGUCCAGGAUGCCCAGGAUCCAACACCGCCGUGGAAUGGGUGCCAGGAAUCCGCACGAGCCGGGCCGACGGGGUCCAGGUGGGCAUGCAUGGCGCAACCUCGGCCCCCGCUCACCUCUGGCGUGGUCCGGCAGGAGCUGCAGCUGGGAGGUCUCGAGGCUUCGGAGGCGUCACUCCUGUGCAGACUCCGCUGUCUCUGCCUCAAGGUUAUCCCGACAGUAGGGCCGCCGCAAUCCCUCCGCCGCCCCGCCCCCGACCCAAUCCUGGCUUCCCGCUCGCCCGGCCCGCCCUUCUGCGUGCUCACGGGGAGCAGUCAUUCAGAAGGAAGUGCCGCGAGGCCGGAACGGGCCUGCAGGUUGCCCUUUUGGGAAGGACUAUAUUCUGUGGCGGAAGGACACUGUACAUUGACUCAUGCUGACGCUCGGUGGAGGCCAAUGAGGAAGCGAAGAGGCGGCAGGAUCCGCCCUCGGAGCUCCGCAGACCUCCCCCUCCCCCCCAGACCCUCGGGCGCCUUGGCCACCUGUUGCCGCCAAUUAGCAUGUUGAGGAGGGCUCCUCUCCUGACCCUCGGUCCAGGCCACCCUGAUGCCCUGGCCUAUUGGGGCGGUACCCAGAUAUAGGGGUCCCCGGCAGCAUUCCCUCAGCGCCGCCCCACCCCUCCGGAUGCCCAUCCUAAUGCACACCUCGGAGACUGAGCUGAACAGGAGGUUGGGGAGCCUGAGAUGGGAUCAGAAGGUGGGGAGAGAUGGAGAUCGUGGGCUGGUUGGUGGUUGGGCCCUCCUUUGGGGCGCUCGGACUCGGGAGUGGGGGAAGGGAGAACUGGGGAGGGCGCAAUGUACUUGGAGCGCGAGCGCAAGGCCCUUCCGUUCUUAGGGUCAGGAAGCACAAAUUGGGGCCAUGUGAAUACUUUAGUAGGGCUGAAAUCCCUGAGAGUAGAAUCCUAUAGAAGGUAUUAAUAUUAGUGCAGAACUGACCAUCAGGAAAUACUAAGUCAGAAUAUGAGAGUCAAUGAUCUUUGCUGGAGUCAGCACUUCUGUUUUCAGCCUUGUAUAUUUAUACCAAUAUUGUUGUUUUUCUUACAUUUUCUCCAAGGCAUUUUCCAGUUUCUCAGUAAUUGGCUAACAACCAGUGAUAACAGAAGUUGCAUCAGGAAACAAAUGUAAACCCUUGCCUUUAUUCAGCGAAGUUUUGAGAGCAGAUACAAUGUUGCUUCAUUAAAAAUCGUUAAGACUC